rnacentral:rRNA from 1 species
AACGAACGCUGGCGGCAUGCCUAACACAUGCAAGUCGAACGAGACCUUCGGGUCUAGUGGCGCACGGGUGCGUAACGCGUGGGAACCUGCCCUUAGGUUCGGAAUAACUCCCCGAAAGGGGUGCUAAUACCGGAUAAUGUCUUCGGACCAAAGAUUUAUCGCCUUUGGAUGGGCCCGCGUUGGUUUAGCUAGUUGGUAGGGUAAAAGCCUACCAAGGCGACGAUCCAUAGCUGGUCUGAGAGGAUGAUCAGCCACACUGGGACUGAGACACGGCCCAGACUCCUACGGGAGGCAGCAGUGGGGAAUAUUGGACAAUGGGCGAAAGCCUGAUCCAGCAAUGCCGCGUGAGUGAUGAAGGCCUUAGGGUUGUAAAGCUCUUUUACCCGGGAUGAUAAUGACAGUACCGGGAGAAUAAGCACCGGCUAACUCCGUG